rnacentral:misc_RNA from 1 species
UUUGGUUUGUUACGGGUGGUUGGCUCUUUGCUUGUGCAACAACUGCCACCCGACUUACCUCCUCAAAUGUUUGCAUAGACUUAUAUAGCCUUUGCAGAUUGUGGGUUUCCUGUGUUGCCUACCUAAGUUACGGAAUUGUCCCGACCGAUUGUAGUUGCUUUCGUCUUGUGUCAUAUGCAUGGCAUGAGAUGAACCUCGAAGCUGUCUCUUUGAACCGCAUCGUUAAUGCUUGCAUUGAUGUUGUGGUCCAUUGAGCAUUGCUUGGCGCCUUGAAUACGGAACAUGAUGUGGGCAUGGGUCCUAACGGAUCCUUCGUUGGCCCUCGUUUAGCGUUCGCGCUUCUCUUAAAAUGACUGCCCAGCCUGUAUGGCUAGCCAUUGUGGAUGGGCAUCAUCAAAGAGGAAUGC